ACACCACUUACCAAUCAAGUUGAUUCUCAAUGUUAGCACCGUGGCCUGGCAAGAUCGGACGUUUUCCGAGGAACCCGGCUGAGCUCCUGUGAGAGCUGCUCCCUGCACUGAUGUGGUCCCUUGGCUGGCAGGCUGCUCUGUGAUCAACCAGGUGACACCUGCCUGUUAUGAGGGACAGGUAGGAGAGGAUGGGCUUUCCAUCAAAACAAACAAAAAAAAAGUCCCAAGAAGGAACUCGGCUCUUCAGAGAUUCAGGACUCAGGAGAAGACUUCGUAGUGAGAGUUGACGUAGAAGUUGACAGCCCAAACCCCACACCAGUUCUUAGAAGUAUUGAUCUCCAAGAAAGAGCAGAAAGAGCUACAACUCCUGCUCCCAGGGACUUACAGGAUCUAAAAAAUGUUUGUGCAGCCAUUUGGACCUCAGUAUGAAGUGGUGUUAAAAGGUGAAGUCCAUUCUUCAGGAAGUAAACCUCUGCCACGUGGAUCAUGCUCAGACAUCCUAUUGAAGUUUGUCCAACAAUUUCUUGCUUUGGAAGGUGUCUCUCUUGGUGGAACACAGUUUCACCUUUUGCUGGAACUCAGAGCUACAAAUGAUGCUUAAUGUACCAAUGCCUUCUGACUGAACUCCUCUCUGCCCUGAAUACAAGAGACCCUAAUAGUUAUGUGGAAAUAUCAUCGCCCCGUUCAGCAUGAAGAAGUUACAAAAGAUGGACCUUCAUCCUUCUGCAACCCUUA
rnacentral:lncRNA from 1 species